GCCUAACACAUGCAAGUCGAGCGGCAGCAUGAUUAGUAGCAAUACUAAUUGAUGGCGAGCGGCGGACGGGUGAGGAACACGUAGGAAUCAGUCGUUUAGAGGGGGACAACCAAGGGAAACUUUGGCUAAUACCGCGUAAUCUCGAAAGAGGAAAGCUGCCCGCAAGGGUGGCGCUAAAUGAGGAGCCUGCAUCCGAUUAGCUAGUUGGUAGGGUAAAAGCCUACCAAGGCAAUGAUCGGUAACUGGUCUGAGAGGACGACCAGUCACACUGGGACUGAGACACGGCCUAGACUCCUACGGGAGGCAGCAGUGGGGAAUAUUGGACAAUGGGGGCAACCCUGAUCCAGCGAUGCCGCGUGGGUGAAGAAGGCCUUCGGGUUGUAAAGCCCUUUAGAUCGGGAAGAAGGUUGGCCGACGAAUAAUCGGUUAACUUGACGGUACCGGUAGAAUAAGCACCGGCAAACUCUGUGCCAGCCGCCGCGGUAA
rnacentral:rRNA from 1 species